rnacentral:misc_RNA from 1 species
CGGUUCUUUUAGGUCUUAAGCUUGACGUCUUACUAUCUUUCACGGUUUCGGCGACAAUCGUGGCGGAAGACGGGGCCGGCGCAUCCAAGGAAUUUGAAAUUGAAUUUAACUCUGACAUCGAAGUAAUUCUGUGGCCAGUUCCAUCAUUUCCUACCACAAAAAUAGAACCUUCUCUCGUCCAAGAUUUAGUUAUACCAAAGCGUCGACGAGCACUAAGGAAUAUUUCAUGACGGCUUUUGGUCAAGAACUCCGACAGAGUGAUUCCUGUGCCCUUUAGUUCUUUUUUAGAGUACCAUAUUUUAUUUCUGAGCGAGAUAUCACGGAACUUAACCACGAUAGCACGAGGCUUAUCUCCAUCAUAACGUCCCAAACGAAAAGAGCGAGAGAUUGAAUCCGUAGUUACCUCAGGAGUGUUAAGUUUGUCGGCCAGUAGACCGGAGACAAGAUCUGAUGUAUUUUCUUUUUUGGUUUCAGGAACACCAUGCACUAGUAUCAUUUUCCUUCGUGAACGCAUCUCAGUUUCGUCAUAUUGCCUUGAUAACAGUUCCACUUGAAGUUUCAAAUUUUGCAACGAACUUAAUACGAAUAGCCGGAAGGAAUUAAACUGAGAAGUAAUAUUUGACGUAGGACUGGUAGCAGGAGUAGAGGUCUUAAUUUCUUUUUGAAUUUCUUCCAGUCUUGCAUUAAAUUGUUCUGAGAGUUCAGCCAAACUGUUUUUUAUUGAUUCCAUAGUAGACACGUUUAUAUAUACUUUGAAUACUGUUCCAGUGUACAAAAUUAUUUAGGAUUUUAUUAGGAAAUAUAGCUGGCAGACUUAGGGAUGUCACAAGUGCAUUACUUAGUUUACAAUAAUUAUUAUUUAUUUUUAUACACGUAAAAGAUAACGGAGCGAAAAUUUCGUGACUUAUUUCUCACACCGCCUACCCGCGAAUCUAUUACAGAUAUUAGAACAAAAAAAUACUUUAGUGGUUGUCUCUAGGUGGUACGGUGGCAUACAAUUAGGACCCGACAGAUUUCGUCAUAUAAACAAUGCAACACGGCAAGUCAUACAACAAGCUGGGUUAUUAAAAAAAUGACAAAUGUGAUAAUUAUUAUUAUUAAUUGCUUAGGUAAUAUAAUAUAAUAUAUUUGAUAUUAUUUUUGUAAAUAGUAAUGUUUCUUUUUUUUUAAUUAAAUGAUGUGAUAAAUCUCGAAGAAUGGUCAAACUGAGUUUGAUUUUUUUCCUUUGUAGUAUGUAUUGCGUAUAAUUGUAUUAAUAUGACUGCAAAUAAAUAAUCCUUUAUCAUAAAAUACAAUAAGGUAUUUUAUAGAAAUGUUUUUGUUAAUUUUAUCCCUAUGUAGGUAACACUGAUUUGCAUUUUUUUUUACAUAAUAGGUCAGCAAACA